CUGUGCUGUCCAUGACCUCAAGCCCAUUGUACACGUACUGUGAGUUCCUCUGUGUUUGUGGGCCCUGGCAGACACACACAAAGGCACGGGUGGGAAAUGUGACAGUACUGGAUGGUCUACUUUCUCAUCUUAAGAAGCUGCCGCUGCUGCAUCCCAACGUGUAAAGAUGACGGAUCUGAAGGGAACAAAAGGGAAGCUUUUCAAAACACUUCUGAUGGCCAGGAUCAAAGACAUCGUCUCAGAAAAAUAGAACAGAGAAAAAGAGAGAGAAUGAGGGAAAUAAAAUAAAAAAAUGUAAAAAAUAAAAAAUUGGGAGUAAACAAGUCAAGCAAGGAGAGCAAGAGUGGAGACGAGAGGUAGCAUCUUAACCACGUCCACGGUGUCUUCGGUGUCUCCGUUCUCCCUGAGCCCAGAAGCAUGCCAAUCCUUCCCUCCGUGUCAUCGAAGGCAAGCCAGUGUACACGGUGAGACACCUCCUGAGGGUUCGACCAUGGGGCAGGGGUUUCCAGUACCUGGUUGACUGGGAGGGUUAUGGCCCGGAGGAGAAGUGCUGGGUACCCGCUAAAGACAUCUUGGACCCGGCCCUCAUUGCCGACUUUCACCGCUGGCACCCCAGUCAACCAGUUAUCCGCCCAGGUGGAACACCAGGUGGUGUCCUUAGAGGGGGGGUGGGUACUGUCACACCCUGAUCUGUUUCACCUGUCCUUGUGCUUGUCUCCACCCCUUCCAGGUGUUGCCAGUUUUCUCAAUUAUCCCCUGUGUAUUUAUACAUGUGUUCUCUGUCUGUUUGUUGCCAGUUCAUCUUGUUCGUUCAAGAUUACCAGCGUUUUUCCUGUUUCUUUUCCCAGCCUCUCUUUGCUAGUCCUCCUGGUUUUGACCUUUGCUGUCCUGACCCUGUACCCGCCCGCCUGACCUCUCUGCCUGACCCUGAACCUGCCUGCCGUGCUGUACCUUUGCUCCACCUCUGGAUUAUUGAACCCUGCCUGUCCUUGACCCUGAGUCCGCCUGCCAUCCUAUACAUCUGCCUUACCCUGGAUUUUCGACCCCUGCCUGCCUUGACCUGUUUUUGUCUGCAUCCUGUUUGCUACAAUAAACAGUGUUAGUUCGACAGUCUGCAUCUGAUUCUGACCUUGAUCCCUGAUACCUAAAUGCUUGCAUUUUUGGGGGAAAAUAGUGAAAUCACCAUGUGAAAGGUAUGUGAAUGUAUGCAUUGUAUUUGGGAGGGGUGCUUUCUAUACUGUCCACCCCCCCUGCUGGAAAAUACAGGCCUCGUCAUCAACAAUGCUACUGGGGCUUUACAGUGUCAAUAUUUUAUCAUGCCUGGACAAUCUCAUUAAGAACUACCAUCAUUUGAAAUAUGUGUGAAAUAAUGAAAAAAAUAUAUAAAAGCAGUCUAAUCUCACACCUAUUGUAAUUUCACCACCUUAAUUGAUUAAUCUACUUUGUCAUGUCCACGCUGGGCAACAGUGGGAGUACCUACAAUGACAGAUCUCUUUAAUAAACUUGGCCCUCACACGUCAGGGUAUACCAUUCACAAUUGCAUUGGCUGGAACCAUUUUAAAAUCGGUUGGUAGCUCCUGUCUGUUUUAAGACCUACAGAUGUAGGAUCUUAAUUUGAGCCGGUUUGCUACAGCAGGAAAAUUAACCUACAGCAAUAGGAAAUGUGAACUAUUAUGCAUAUUUAAAUUCAUGGAGUUUUUUUUGUGGGGGUUGAUGCAUUUUUCUUUAAGGCAAAUCAAGUCUGACAUUUUAAAGUGGAAACUUUAGAAGCCUUUUAAAACAAAUUAAGAUCCUACAUCUGUACAGUAUGCCAGGGCCACAAAGAGCAACCCUAAGCAAGACUUAUUAUUAUAUCAAAACAGACACAUGUUUUUGGAGUUGUUUAACCUGAAUCUUGUAUAAGACUGAUUCAUUUUUAGAUAUAGGAAAUAGGAAAUCCUCUGACCAGAAUUAAAUUGAAGGAGGUUGCUAUUACUCAGAUCAAUCAUUGCUUUAUACAUUACUUAGACCCAUAACCUACACAAUAGAACAAAUUCUAAAAUCGCUGUCCAAUAUUUGAAUGUAUAUACUGUACGUGUGGCUACACGUACUCAUCAUACACACGCUACUUCAUAUGAGCAUGUUGAAACAGCUUGAUGUUACAUUCAUAUGUUUUGUACACUUGGUGUAUGUAUACUGCAGUCGGAGAGUGCCUUACAACUGGCAUCAAUCAAUAAGUACGAACAUUCACCAAAGACUGUAGGCCUACAUCCAAUAAUGGUGGGAGGUUGUUGAUGGGGAUAAUGAAUAUUUCCCUAGUCUUAAAUGAGAAGAAGCUCUUUAAGAUGCAGAAUGGCCAGAGAACUAGACCACUGUGUUAUCUGUAUGGCCACCUCCAGCCUUCGGGUAAGGGAUAUUCCCUAUCUCUCUCUGUCCCUCUACCCCUCCAUCCCUCCUCUCCCCUUGCUUACUUCCAUCCCCCUAGCUCCCUCCACCCUCCUCUCUUUUGUUUUUGCCAUCCCUCCUUUACCUCUGGCUCCCUCCACCCUCCUCUCUCCUUGGUUUCCUCCAUACCUCCAUCCCUCCUUUAACUCUGGCUCCCUCGAUCCUUCCGUCCCUCCUCUCACUUUGGCUCCCUCUAUCCCUCUUUCCCCCUGGCUCCAAUCCCCCCUGACAGGCUGGAGGAAUGACCCUGAGAAUCACAUUAUGUAUAUUUCUUAGCAGCCCCCUGCAUUUGCAUGUAGAAGACAGUUAAAAUAAGGCCAUAAAUCAGUCCGCAAACAUAUAAAUGGAUUCGAAGGAGAUUGAAACCUUCGGCGAGUCUCUUGAGCAAAUAUUUCAAGCCCCGUCUGAGAGAUAUCCACUGUCAUUAACUAGCAGAGCCUCUCUGACCACUCAGCUUGUAUAUUUCCUUCAUUACAUGACGGGAGAGGGGUUGUGGUGGUGGGGUGGGGUGGCUAUACGACUGUCUGCUUCGAUAAAUCUACCUGCAUAUUCUGAUAUGUGCUGCUUUGCCACCAGCUAAUGCUUUGGAGAAACAGUAUCAUUUGAAAAAUGUCUCUGCAACUACCCGCAUAAAAUAGUGGGUGCCCAACUGAACGGAGGUUGAUGAGUGGGAAAUAUUUAGCCUGCCUUGUAUGCUUAGUAUUAAAGCUAUCAAAUGUAAGAUAAUGGACAUUCUUCAUUUGUUUCCCCUGCAACAACAAAAAAAUCGGAAAAGAAAAGGCAAAAGGAAAUCCCUUCCAUUGUUUUUACAAUAGCAGAACAAAUUGCAUUGAUUUGGCAACCCCUGUUUGAGAAGCACAUUAACAGAUAAGCCCCAAAAGAUGACCAAAAAGAUAAGCGGGAAGUGAUUGCAUUACACACACAACAUCCAAAAUCUAUCUUGCAUACGACUUACUAAAACUAAGUACUAUGUACUAAUCAUACUACAUAAUAUUUUGAAAUGUUUUGUUUAGUCAAAAUGAAUGCAGUAAAACAACAAAUAUCAACAUACUGGUGAUGAAUUGGAACAUGUUCAAAGAAAUUAGGUGGCAAACAAGUCAGGCUGCUCAGUUGAUUGGUUGACGUACUGUAAAUUGAAAAAUGACUAAACUUAACAAAAAUAAGAAAUGAUAUUACCAAACAGUGGUGGAAAAAGUAUCAAAUUGUCAUACUUGAGUAAAAGUAAAAAUAUCUUAAUAGAAAAUGAUUCAAAUAAAAUACCACUUGAGUUCAAGUCUAAAAGUAUUUGGUUUAAAAUGUACUUAAGAAUCGAAAGUAAAAGUAUAAAUCAUUUUAAAUUCCUGAUAUUAGGCAAACCAGACGGCACGAUUUUCUUUUCUUUUCUUAUGGGUAGCAGGGGGCACACUCAGAGAUCAUUUACAAAACUAAGCAUUUGUGUUUAGUGAGUCUGACAAAUCAGAAGCAUUAGGAAUGACCAGGGAUGUUCUCUUGACAAGUGUGUGAAUUAGAAAAUGUUCCUGUCCUGUUAAGCAUUCAAAAUGUAACUAGAACUUUUGGGUGUCAGUGAAAAUGUAAGGAGUAAAACCUGCAUUAUUUUCUUUAGGAAUGUAGUGAAGUAAAAGUAAAAGUUGUAAAAAAAUAUAAGUAGUACCACACUAUCUUUCAGAGAACAAGUUAACUACUGACUUUCAGCAUGCAUAUAGAGAAGGGCACUCAACUUGUACACCACUGACUCAGAUGGAAAUUCCUUAUAUUGGUGAUUGGUUAAUUGGUGAUUAGUUAAUUAAAAUAAAUGGAUAAUAAGAUGAUAGUUGGAGCUGUAUCUUUAGAUUUCAGUGCAGCCUUUGAUGUUAUUGAUCAUAAAUUGUAAUUGAAAAAGCUAACUUGCUAUGGCUUUAUAUCACCUGCCAUCACAUGGUUGGAGAGUUAUUUAUCCAGUAGAACCCAGAGAGUGUUAUUUAAUGGAAGCUUCUCUAACAUCAGAAAUGUACCAUGCGGUGUCCCUCAAGGCAGUUGCCUUGUGCCGUUACUCUUCUAUAUUUUUUACAAAUGAUUUACCACUGGUCUUACACAAAGCUAGAAUAACUAUGUAAGCAGAUGAUACCACACUCUACAUGGCAGCACCCAAUGCCAGUGAGCUCACUGAAAUUCUAAAUAAGGUGUUACAGUCCGUAUCAGAAUGGGUGAUUAAGAAUAAACUGGUCUUAAAUACAUCUAAAACUAAAAGCAUUGUAUUUGGUUCAAAUGGGGAGGGGUAUGUCUGUUAUAAAAACUGCAGCAUAGAAAGACCUAGAAAAUCUGCAGCCAGCUCAAAACAGAGCAGCAUGCCUUACCCUUAACUGCAAAUACAGAAUUAACAUCAACAACAUGCACGCCAGUGUUUCCUGGUUGAGGGUUGACAAGCAAUUAACUGCUUCUCUUCUAGUUUUUAUGAGAAAUAUUACUGUAACGAUAAUUCCAUAUUGUCUGCAUAAUCAAAUAACAUUCAACAUUCAGCUCAGACAGCCAUACAUACCCCACAAGACAUUCCACCAGGAGUCUCCUCACAGUCCCCGAGUCCAAAAUGAAUUCACUGCAAUGCACAGUUGUAUACAAAGUCAUGGAACUCCCUUCCAUGCAAUCAUUACUCAAGCAAACAGCAAAAUUACAUUUUAAAAAACGGAUUAAAAGCAACUCAUGGAACGGCGGGGACUGUGAGGGGACACACACACAAACACACCCAGAAACACCCAGAGUCACACAUUAUAAUAUAAUGGCGCCGGAUGAGAUGGCUGCCGUUUUACAGGCUCCUAACCAAUUGUGCUAUUUUGUGUGUUUUCACCGUUGUUUGUAACUGCAUUGUUGGUUAAGGGCUUGUAAGUAAGCAUUUCACAGUAAUGGUUACACCUGUUAUAAUCGGCACAUUUGACAAAUAAAAAUGUAUUUGAUUUGGCAAGCUA